UAGAGAUCUGCUCUUCCCAUGACGACAGAAUGCCCAAAUAAAUAGUUGCCAGUAUGAGCAUAGAAGCUGGAGUAACAGUAGUUUAAACCACUAGGAAAUGUACUCAAAGAACUACUGGUAGCAGAAGAAAAUCAGCUAAAAAUAAGUCUGCCCUUUCCUAAAUGUUGCAUGGUGGGUAAAAGGUAGUCUGGCUUCCCAGAAGUCUUCUGCUAAAUGCAAGGGUUUCCUGUCCUGUUUACUGACUGUUACACCUGAGGCUGAUUUUGACACAGAUUGUGGAUAUCGCAGGGCCGGCUCUCGCGCUCGCCCCGGGGCGCCGCCGCCCCGCGCCCCCCCCCCCCCCCCCCCCCCCCCCCCCCCCCCCCCCCCCCCCCCCCCCCCCCCCCCCCCCCCCCCCCCCCCCCCCCCCCCCCCCC
rnacentral:lncRNA from 12 species